rnacentral:lncRNA from 1 species
UGGCCAGCCUGAGAUACAUAGUGUGUGAGACACUGUUUCAAAAAUCAACAAGAAGAAAAAACACCACUGGGUUUCUUUAAACAAUUUUAAUACAUUGUGUGCACGACUGUGUGGGGGCAUGCAACAUGUGCCACAGUGGGUAUGUGAAGAUCUGAGGACAGCUUUCUGCAGUCAGUUCUCUUUGUUUCGUGUGGAUUCCAGGAGUCAUCAACUUUGGCAGCAAACACUGUCUCCCUCAGAAUCAGCAGGCAUGGAACAACUGUAAGGACUCAGGUGACUGCUUGGCAACUCAAUCAACACCAAUGAUGGCUCAUCUUCAACUCUGUCUUUAGAAUAAAUAGAACCAGACCAGAGAGUGGGAGAUAGAGAGCUCAAAUGAGAAAUUAUGUGAAUAAUCUGUAAACAGAAAAGAAUGGUACCACCAUGUGGCAAUAGAAAAAGACAAGAUACAGAAAUUAUAUCCAACGUACCUAAAUGUCUAGUUCAUUUUGCCAGAGAACUUCAAGUUAGUGAAAUGGCAGGAAACACAACGACUUCUGAGUCUAGCACAAUGGUUCCCAAUGCAUGAAAUACCAGAACUAUCUUACAAAUACCCCUUAUAUUGUAAUACAGUAGUAUUGUGAUAGUAUUGUGAUAUCCCUUUACUAUCAAAAUUCAGAAUUUACACACUAGCAGUAAUUAUAACCAUUGGCACUAGCAUCCUCUGUUUGUCAUGUGUCAGCAGAUGUUCUGGGCAUGUAAGGUCUCAGCUGAAAAGAGGUAACCCCAAAACAAGCUUUCGUGGCUUCUUAAGUGCAGACAGUGUGGUGUGUUACCGUCUGUCUGCUUCCAUUAUGUAGAAGUAGAUUAUAUAACCCAAAACUUCAUCAUGAAUAAAGUGCUUAAAAGGAUUCCUUCAAAGGUCCUUCCAUGCAAUACCAUGCAAAGGAUGUGGGCAGAAACUAUCUAUACAGGAUGGCAGAAGUGACUCUGUGUCCCCUCCCAGUUACGAGCUUAAGCCAGCCCCAAAACAAGGCAGAAAUUCAUCAUGUCAAUCAAACCACGUGUUUUUAAACAGACAAGACUAAAAUUUACCCUAAAAUACUUAAGUCUGUUACCUGAUCUUCUUUAUCUUAGUCCUGUUCAUUUUUUCAUGGGUUUAUUGUGCAUAUUAAAUAUCUGAAAAAAGAGGUCAAAUAGUUAUUUUUUCAAAUAAAUAUACAUAAAAUUUAUUACUGCAGAGGUUUGUAAUAAAUAAAAAAGAACCAUUCCCUGUGGUGUUUUAUUUCCCUACUGUGUUAUUUUCCCCAGUUAGACCUCUGUGUUAGGCACCAAUGGAGCAUUGUUACACUGCUGAAGAUAACACCAAGGCAGAUGUCAUGGGACCACCUCCCUGUAUCUUUCUUUCCCCCUUUUUGUUUGAGACUGAACCAUACAG